AUGGUGGCGUGGAUGCAGGGCAAGGUCGAUGAAGCCGAAGCCGCCGACGAGGAUGUUGUUGGAGAAGCCCCUGAUGCCGAGGAUGCACCUGACACCGACGCAGCCGCCUCGGGAGCACCUCCUGCAUGAUUGCCUGUUUUUUUUCUUAUUUUCCUGCAAGUGGCGCAUGGCGCCUUAGAACUUUCUUGUGUUAGCUUUCCCUUGUCAUCACAAGUGUUAUUUGUUAACUCGUUUGCUCAAGCUUCAUUAUAUCCAAUGCUACUUUUACUUGCUUCUUUGUCUAAAACUAGCUUGCCGGGGAGGGGCACUGUAAUUCUCGUGCUUUAGCCUUGCGUAUCCGGGGACUCGCCAACUACAUGGUUGGCCAGACUAGGGAUCCAAGACGGACCCGCGGUGCCAAUCUAGGACCAAACAGCAGCGGCUAGUCACUCCGCCGGCGGGUUAACUACCCCA
rnacentral:lncRNA from 1 species